GCCUGAGUGGCUCAGUCAGUUAAGCGUCUGACUUCGGCUCAGGUCAUGAUCUCAUGGUUCGUGGGUUCGAGCCCCACAUUGGGCU
rnacentral:tRNA from 1 species